CUGCGAAUGGCUCAUUAAAUCAGUUAUCGUUUAUUUGAUAGUACCUUACUACUUGGAUAACCGUGGUAAUUCUAGAGCUAAUACAUGCUGAAAACCCCAACUUCGGGAGGGGUGUAUUUAUUAGAUAAAAAACCAACGCCCUUCGGGGCUUCUUGGUGAUUCAUGAUAACUUUACGGAUCGCAUGGCCUUGCGCCGGCGACGGUUCAUUCAAAUUUCUGCCCUAUCAACUUUCGAUGGUAAGGUAUUGGCUUACCAUGGUUUCAACGGGUAACGGGGAAUUAGGGUUCGAUUCCGGAGAGGGAGCCUGAGAAACGGCUACCACAUCCAAGGAAGGCAGCAGGCGCGCAAAUUACCCAAUCCCGACACGGGGAGGUAGUGACAAUAAAUACUGAUACAGGGCUCUUUUGGGUCUUGUAAUUGGAAUGAGUACAAUUUAAACCUCUUAACGAGGAACAAUUGGAGGGCAAGUCUGGUGCCAGCAGCCGCGGUAAUUCCAGCUCCAAUAGCGUAUAUUAAAGUUGUUGCAGUUAAAAAGCUCGUAGUUGAAACUUGGGUCUGGCUGGCAGGUCCGCCUCACCGCGUGUACUUGUCCGGCCGGGCCUUCCUUCUGGAGAACCUCAUGCCCUUCACUGGGCGUGUUGGGGACCAGGACUUUUACUUUGAAAAAAUUAGAGUGUUCAAAGCAGGCCUUUGCUCGAAUACGUUAGCAUGGAAUAAUAGAAUAGGACGUGCGGUUCUAUUUUGUUGGUUUCUAGGACCGCCGUAAUGAUUAAUAGGGACAGUCGGGGGCAUCAGUAUUCAAUUGUCAGAGGUGAAAUUCUUGGAUUUAUUGAAGACUAACUACUGCGAAAGCAUUUGCCAAGGAUGUUUUCAUUAAUCAGUGAACGAAAGUUAGGGGAUCGAAGACGAUCAGAUACCGUCGUAGUCUUAACCGUAAACUAUGCCGACUAGGGAUCGGGCGAUGUUCUUUUUUUUGACUCGCUCGGCACCUUACG
rnacentral:rRNA from 1 species